rnacentral:rRNA from 1 species
UACGGAGGGUGCUAGCGUUGUUCGGAAUUACUGGGCGUAAAGGGCGCGUAGGCGGCCCGUCAAGUCCCGUGUGAAAGCCCCCGGCUCAACCGGGGAACUGCACGGGAAACUAGCAGGCUUGAGUUCGGGAGAGGGAAGCGGAAUUUCGGGUGUAGCGGUGAAAUGCGCAGAUAUCCGAAGGAACACCGGUGGCGAAGGCGGCUUCCUGGACCGACACUGACGCUGAGGCGCGAAAGCUAGGGGAGCAAACGGG